rnacentral:rRNA from 1 species
GUAGAGCACUGUUUCGGCUAGGGGGUCAUCCCGACUUACCAACCCGAUGCAAACUACGAAUACCGAAGAAUGUUAUCACGGGAGACACACGGCGGGUGCUAACGUCCGUCGUGAAGAGGGAAACAACCCAGACCGCCAGCUAAGGUCCCAAAGUCAUGGUUAAGUGGGAAACGAUGUGGGAAGGCACAGACAGCCAGGAUGUUGGCUUAGAAGCAGCCAUCAUUUAAAGAAAGCGUAAUAGCUCACUGGUCGAGUCGGCCUGCGCGGAAGAUGUAACGGGGCUAAACCAUGCACCGAAGCUGCGGCAGCGACACUAUGUGUUGUUGGGUAGGGGAGCGUUCUGUAAGCCUGCGAAGGUGUGCUGUGAGGCAUGCUGGAGGUAUCAGAAGUGCGAAUGCUGACAUAAGUAACGAUAAAGCGGGUGAA